AUUGAACGCUGGCGGCAUGCCUAACACAUGCAAGUCGAGCGGAGCGGCGGACGGGUGAGUAAUACCUAGGAAUCUGCCUGGGAGUGGGGGAUAACGUACGGAAACGGACGCUAAUACCGCAUACUAUCAGAUGGGCCUAGGUGGGAUUAGCUAGUUGGUGAGGUAAUGGCUCACCAAGGCUACGAUUCGUAACUGGUCUGAGAGGAUGAUGGGUCACACUGGAACUGAGACACGGUCCAGACUCCUACGGGAGGCAGCAGUGGGGAAUAUUGGACAAUGGGCGAAAGCCUGAUCCAGCAAUGCCGCGUGUGUGAAGAAGGUCUUCGGAUUGUAAAGCACUUUAAGUUGGGAGGCGUUACCGACCCAGUAAGCCACGGCUAACUCUGUGCCAGCAGCCGCGGUAAUAC
rnacentral:rRNA from 1 species